UUCCAGAUGGAUUAAGUGAUUCAAUAACCGGCAAAACGUUAAACCCAAACCGUCCACUUAAAGUACUGCGUCAUUUUAUUGUGCUAGAGCACAGUUUCUGAAUGUAUAUGAACUGUACUGCAGUUUCUUUUAACGCUCCACCAUACAUCAUCAGCCUGACUUGAAUAAAUUACCCUGAACUUUUAGUGUGAUGGAAACACAAAGUACACAGAUUACCAGGA